AUGAGAAAACCAGGCUAUCUGCGGGAUUUUGGUAAAAUCAGUUUUUGGUACUUACAGAUAGAGAACAAAAUUUCCUUUCCAGCGAUAUCCCAUUUAUGACAAUGCGCAAUAAAACUUUGCAGUUAGGGACGCUGUUUGGACGAUUGCUCUGGAAUACAAGUACAGAGAAAAAGGCAUUUUAAGUUAUUUUCAAUGUUUCCGUGUCACGCCCGUUCACGUAGUAAAUGUGACCACGCCCACCACGUAAACCACACCCAAAUCAAUUAAUAAACGGGUAAAGAAGAAAGAAGCACUUGACAGCAUUUUAACUUACUUUUCUUGCUUUUUGGACAUCUUAAGAGUGAUCUAAAGCCCAGCCAUGCAUUGAGACAUCAAAUACAAUGCCAAUAAAGUCCUUUUUGUGAACUGUAAUAACAUCAUCUGGGUCAUUUACAUCCACACAUCGCUUCUGCUUGAGUUUACAGGUCACAGGUGACACUUGGUGUUCUUUGAUUGGCUGUGAAUGACGCAAUUACUUCUAUUUCGAUAAACACAAAUCACCUGCAUGAUAACUUCGUGACUAACUUUCUCUCGGGCCUUCUCUUUUGAGUUAGUAAGUUUUAAACAAAAAUGAGUGUUUGUGUUUAUGUUGACGUCUCACGCACAUACUAGUUCCACACCUUUGUUUUAAAAAAGGGGAUCCAUAGUUUGUAUGUCUUAGCGUUACAAACGAGUUCCUCUCCUUUAGGGGAUCAAUAGUUUGAAUAUUUGGCAUUCAAACUAGUUCCACUCCUGUUUCAGGGGAUCAAUAGUCUGUUUGUAGUAGACAAACUAGUUCCUCUCCUGUUGAAAGGGGAUCAAUAGUAUGUGCAUUACACAAACUCAUUUCUGUUAUUCAUUUACUGAUUACAUGGACAAGUUCUUCUAUUAUGACCAAAUUGACCACAAUUACCACAUUUUCUUUGUGUUGCAGGUGGUUCUAGAGAUUGCCUUGGAGAAUGUGGUACUUCAAUCUCCAUUGCGAGGUCUGUUGGAUCAUCUACACCUGGAGUUGAUUGUCGAGAUGAUCCUGUUAGUCGAGGUGCAUCAGGAAGUGGGCAGGUUACAUCUUUACAUUCGUAUCUGCAAAACGGUCUUAUCUUUUCGUAAAGGUACCAUUUCCUUUCAGUUGACAUACCCUUUGGUGGUAAUAUAUUAGGUAGUUCAUCUUCUGUUAUUUCAGCGUCCUCCUUCAGCAAAUUGAAUUGUGUGACUGGGCCAUCUACAGCUUGUCUGGCUGCAACUACACCAGCAAAGUAACUACACCAGUCAAG